UUAAUUUUACAAUAUGUCUUUCAAAGGUGUCCUAAUUAUCUAAAAUAAUCAUCAUUGACAAUCAUGGAUGAUAAGUUUUAUUCAUUAAAUUAAAGGAAACCUGUGUUCUUACUUACCUUUCCACUAGAUGGCAAUAGUACAUGGUAGUUGCAUGUAUUUUAGACUGUUUAGUAAAUCAUUUAAGAGGUGAAUGUUUUUAUAAGUUUGGAUAUCUCAUUAAACCAGGACAUUAGCAAUACUACAGCAUGCUGAUAGCUGUCUCAGUAGAGAGCUAUCUUGAAUAGUAGAAUGAAUUUUCUUUCUUUGCAUAAUAUAAAUGCAAUAUAUAGAUUUAAAUGUACCAAUAUGCAGAAUAAGAAGAAUCAAUACUUCUCAGUGACGGCUGGCACAUUUAACAACAAUAAUAUGUAUGACACUUACUAUUUCAUACUGGAUGAGGGACUUCAAUUAUAUUAAAUUCAAGGGACAAAUCAACCCCUGAUGUCAUUCUGUGGACUUCAAUGGAAUUUGCUAGGGGUGGAUUUGGCUCCAGGGUUUUGGAUCACAAAAUAAAAGAAAAAAGGAACACAUGCUACUGAAUGAGAAGGGGAACAGAGUAAUCUUUCCAGGGUGAGUCAGAACAUCAGCUGAAAUGGGACUCCGCAGUAUGAGCCUGUAGCAGACUCGUUCUGGGCAGUGUGCCCUAAAAAGUUGCUAUACAUCUCUUACACGUAAUGCCUGCUUCUUUUUGAUACAUCACUUUGGGAUGGAUUGCCGUUGUCAGUUAAUUGCAUACACAAGAAUUGAGUGCUGGUGAAAGGAUUGACAGCCAUGGCCAGGCCUGGCCUUAGACCAAAUGGCGCUCCAGGCAAGAAGCAUCUUCGGCACCUCCCUGCUCCACUUGUUAAACUUUUGAAUACCUUAUUUUUCAUUGCAUAUGUAGCCCAUUUUGCAACUUUUAUGCACGAUUUGCAUGCAUGAUUUAUCCCUGUCACAGAAGUUGAUAAAUUUGCAUACAAGGAUCUGAAAAUCUGUAUUAUUCAUGCCAUA